CCAGGCAGGCAGAGGAAGGAAGGGUGGUGUGAUGGCAGCGCAGGCCAGGCAAGGCCCAGGGGGUGUGGGACGUGAUCUGGGCCCGGGGCUGAAUGGACGCCAGCAGCGGUGGAGAAGGAGGGGCCAGAGUGGCCUGGGGGCAGGGCUGAUGGCCACAACAUUAACAGCAGAAGGGCCAUGGGCCGGAGGAGGGACCCACAGCUCUACAGGCGAGGCUGAAAGAGAGGAAGCUGACCCUGGGAGGAAGCUCCCCACUGGCAGAGGAAGGAGGCCCCAAGCAGCCAAGCGGCCAGCAAGCCCCCGGUAAGAUCGCAUCUACAGGUCCGGAGGAUGAAGAUCUGAACCUCUUCGGGAACCAUCCGCAGCCUGUCACAACGAGGCCGUUGACUGCCCUGCUGAGUCCUCUGUUGGUCUAGUUUUCUGUCCCUAAUAGCGGCCACCAGAGUCCUCCUGCAGAAAGAAGAGAAUAGGACCCCUGUCACUGGACCAGUGGGGAGCGAGGACAAGAAAACAGAGAAGAGGGUGCCGGCAAUCAUAGGUCCUGGGAAGUGAGGGUGCGGGGACCCCCAGGUGCCCGGCCAGCUGCAAGGGUGAGAUGCCCGGCAAGCACGGGGAGGCAGCGCCAGCAGGUGGCCCCGCCCGGGGUCCUUCUUAGCGCAGCCGACAGCGUCCAGAGGCUCCACCCAAAGGGCCUCAUCCCCCACAGCCUCUUCUGCCUGGGGAAACCCGGAGGCCCAUCGCUCCUGAACUCCACUCCCUCCUUCCGUGACUCCCUCACCAGCCUCCCCAGUGCUGCCAGAGCGGCCUCGCUCCAGGCAUGAUCGCCUCCCCAUUAGCUGCAGAAAUAACGAUUUGCAAAAUUGGGCGGAAGUUAUACUCAGUAGUUUGGUGGUUAAAUCUGACGCUGUGGAUAUUUCUCCUCCAAAAGAAUUAAAUGCCUCUUUCACGGA